rnacentral:rRNA from 1 species
UACGUAGGGGGCAAGCGUUGUCCGGAUUUAUUGGGCGUAAAGAGCGUGUAGGCGGUCAGGUAGGUCCGUUGUGAAAACUCGAGGCUCAACCUCGAGACGCCGAUGGAAACCAUCUGACUAGAGUCCGGAAGAGGAGAGUGGAAUUCCACGUGUAGCGGUGAAAUGCGUAGAGAUGUGGAGGAACACCAGUGGCGAAGGCGACUCUCUGGUCUGUAACUGACGCUGAGGAGCGAAAGCGUGGGGAGCAAACAGG